rnacentral:rRNA from 1 species
AGUGAACGCUGGCGGUAGGCCUAACACAUGCAGGUCGAACGGCAGCACAGUAAGAGCUUGCUCUUACGGGUGGCGAGUGGCGGACGGGUGAGGAAUAUAUCGGAAUCUACUUUUUCGUGGGGGAUAACGUAGGGAAACUUACGAUAAUACCGCAUACGACCUACGGGUGAAAGCAGGGGAUCUUCGGACCUUGCGCGAUUGAAUGAGCCGAUGUCGGAUUAGCUAGUUGGCGGGGUAAAGGCCCACCAAGGCGACGAUCCGUAGCUGGUCUGAGAGGAUGAUCAGCCACACUGGAACUGAGACACGGUCCAGACUCCUACGGGAGGCAGCAGUGGGGAAUAUGGGACAAUGGGCGCAAGCCUGAUCCAGCCAUACCGCGUGGGUGAAGAAGGCCUUCGGGUUGUAAAGCCCUUUUGUUGGGAAAGAAAAGCAGCAGGUUAAGACCCCGCUGUUCUGACGGUACCCAAUGAAUAAGCACCGGCUAACUUCGUG